rnacentral:rRNA from 1 species
CUGGCUCAGGAUAACGCUGGCGGCGUGCCUAAUACAUGCAAGUCGGCCGGGGAGGGGAAAGCUGCUUCACCUCCCAGGGGCGAACGGGUGAGUAAUACGUAAGCAACCUGCCCGCGGGUCCGGGAUAAGCCCUGGAAACGGGGUCUAAGACCGGAUAGGCGGCGGGGGCGCAUGCCCCCUCCGUUAAAGGCGAGAAACGCCUGCGGAUGGGCUUACGGCGCAUUAGCUUGUUGGCGGGGCAGCGGCCCACCAAGGCGAUGAUGCGUAGCCGGCCUGAGAGGGUGGACGGCCACAUUGGGACUGAGACACGGCCCAGACUCCUACGGGAGGCAGCAGUAGGGAAUUUUCGGCAAUGGGCGGAAGCCUGACCGAGCAACGCCGCGUGAGCGAAUGAAGGCCUUCGGGUCGUAAAGCUCUGUUGCAGGGGGAGAAUUGGCGGGACGGGAUCCCGCAGUGACGGUACCCUGCCAGAAAGCCACGGCUAACUACGUGCCAGCAGCAGC